rfam:Ictidomys tridecemlineatus contig091376, whole genome shotgun sequence.
UGGGUUGUGGCUCAGUGGUAGAGUGCUUGCCUAGCAUGUGCGGGGCCCUGGGUUUGAUCCCCAGCACCACAU